UUGCGCCACUGUGCCCCUCGUUCUUCCAGCAUAAAACAGUAUCAACCUUUAAUAUGUUGCCUACAAGAGACCCAUUUAAUGCCAGACCAAACCCAGUUACCUAAUCCUCAAUGGGCAGGGCAUAGUUUUCAUGCCACUUAUUCUACAUAUG